AGAGUUUGAUCCUGGCUCAGGAUGAACGCUGGCGGCGUGCUUAACACAUGCAAGUCGAACGAACCUUCGGGUUAGUGGCGGACGGGUGAGUAACGCGUGAGAAUCUGCCCUCAGGAGGGGGAUAACGGUUGGAAACGACCGCUAAUACCCCAUAUGCCGCGAGGUGAAAUGAAUUUCGCCUGAGGAUGAGCUCGCGUCUGAUUAGUUAGUUGGUGGGGUAAAGGCCUACCAAGACAUCGAUCAGUAGCUGGUCUGAGAGGAUGAUCAGCCACACUGGGACUGAGACACGGCCCAGACUCCUACGGGAGGCAGCAGUGGGGAAUUUUCCGCAAUGGGCGAAAGCCUGACGGAGCAACGCCGCGUGAGGGAUGAAGGCCUCUGGGCUGUAAACCUCUUUUAUCAAGGAAGAAGAUCUGACGGUACUUGAUGAAUAAGCCACGGCUAAUUCCGUGCCAGCAGCCGCGGUAAUACGGGAGUGGCAAGCGUUAUCCGGAAUUAUUGGGCGUAAAGCGUCCGCAGGCGGUCUGUCAAGUCUGCUGUUAAAGCGUGGAGCUUAACUCCAUUUCGGCAGUGGAAACUGACAGACUAGAGUGUGGUAGGGGCAGAGGGAAUUCCCGGUGUAGCGGUGAAAUGCGUAGAUAUCGGGAAGAACACCAGUGGCGAAGGCGCUCUGCUGGGCCAUAACUGACGCUCAUGGACGAAAGCCAGGGGAGCGAAAGGGAUUAGAUACCCCUGUAGUCCUGGCCGUAAACGAUGAACACUAGGUGUCGGGGGAAUCGACCCCCUCGGUGUCGUAGCCAACGCGUUAAGUGUUCCGCCUGGGGAGUACGCACGCAAGUGUGAAACUCAAAGGAAUUGACGGGGGCCCGCACAAGCGGUGGAGUAUGUGGUUUAAUUCGAUGCAACGCGAAGAACCUUACCAGGGUUUGACAUCCUGCGAAUCUCUUGGAAACGAGAGAGUGCCUUCGGGAACGCAGUGACAGGUGGUGCAUGGCUGUCGUCAGCUCGUGUCGUGAGAUGUUGGGUUAAGUCCCGCAACGAGCGCAACCCACGUCGUUAGUUGCCAGCAUUUAGUUGGGCACUCUAGCGAGACCGCCGGUGAUAAACCGGAGGAAGGUGAGGAUGACGUCAAGUCAGCAUGCCCCUUACAUCCUGGGCUACACACGUACUACAAUGCUACGGACAAAGGGCAGCAAACUCGCGAGAGCUAGCAAAUCCCAUAAACCGUGGCUCAGUUCAGAUCGUAGGCUGCAACUCGCCUACGUGAAGGAGGAAUCGCUAGUAAUCGCAGGUCAGCAUACUGCGGUGAAUACGUUCCCGGGCCUUGUACACACCGCCCGUCACACCAUGGAAGUUGGCCACGCCCGAAGCCGUUACUCCAACCCUUGUGGAGGAGGACGUCGAAGGUGGGGCUGAUGACUGGGGUGAAGUCGUAACAAGGUAGCCGUACCGGAAGGUGCGGCUG
rnacentral:rRNA from 1 species